rnacentral:rRNA from 1 species
GACGAACGCUGGCGGCGUGCUUAACACAUGCAAGUCGAACGGUGAACGAGGGAGCUUGCUCCCUCCGGAUCAGUGGCGAACGUGUGAGUAACACGUGAGCAAUCUGCCCCGAACUCUGGGAUAAGCGUUGGAAACGACGUCUAAUACCGGAUACGACGCGGGUGGGCAUCCUCUCCGCGUGGAAAGAACUUCGGUUCGGGAUGAGCUCGCGGCCUAUCAGCUUGUUGGUGAGGUAACGGCUCACCAAGGCGACGACGGGUAGCCGGCCUGAGAGGGUGACCGGCCACACUGGGACUGAGACACGGCCCAGACUCCUACGGGAGGCAGCAGUGGGGAAUAUUGCACAAUGGGCGCAAGCCUGAUGCAGCAACGCCGCGUGAGGGACGACGGCCUUCGGGUUGUAAACCUCUUUUAGCAGGGAAGAAGCGAAAGUGACGGUACCUGCAGAAAAAGCACCGGCUAACUACGUG